CACUAUCAACAAUAGGAAUACUGCCCAAGCUUGAAGAUCUGUACCUUGAAGACGCAAUCAUCGAGGGGGAAGGAUGGAACAUGGGGGAGGAAGACACCUUCCAGAAUCUCAAAUGUCUGACGUUGCAGCGAGUGACUCUUGCUAAUUGGGAGGUUAGAGAGGAAUCCUUUCCUGCGCUUGAGAAAUUACGACUGCGGGACUGUCGUAUGCUUGAGGAGAUUCCGCCUAGUUUCGGGGAUAUUUGUUCAUUAAAAAGUAUCGAACUACGGAGGAGCCCUCAACUUAAAGAAUCUGCUCUGAAGAUUAAGCAAGAUGUUGAAGAUAUGGGUAGGGAUAUUCUGGUCCUUGUUUAUAGCUGAUCGAGUCCUGAGCACUUUUACCUUGGGAAAAUAUGUGAGUAUAGCCGAACUUAUUACCUCCUCAUUUUCAUUUUAUGUGGCAGUGCUUGACCAGUGUAAUUUUCUUUUGCAGAGAGCAUGUAAGGAAUACAUCCUCAGACAUCUAAAUUCUGAUACAUUCUCCCAGCUAUUUCAUUUUUUGUGGGUAAAUAUACACCAGCAUUUGUUGCAGUUAGCUCUACAUGUGUAGAUCAUUUUGCUGCUGCUCUUGCUCUGUCUUCUGUGAAACAACAAACAAGAAGCUCCCACUUUCAUCCCUCCCAAAUCGACUCAACUGCAGCACUAGUUUUAGUGAUUCUAAGCGUCGAUAGCACUCUGUCGCCAAUUUUGGCUGCAAAAGCAAACUCCUGCUGUGAAAAGUUGCAAACUGCUUGUAAACUGUCCAGAAAUCUCUCUCCAAUGUAUGCUCCUUGGGCAUCCAACUUGGGUUGAAACCGUGUUUUCUUUCUUUUUCGUUAUGGCAUCUUUUUUCAUAUUUCCUGUUCCUUUCUUUUUUCAUGGUUGUAACUGUCACCUCCUUCACUGAUGAGCAUACUACUACUCUUGUUCCUCCAUCAAGAAUCUUUCAAGGCCUUCAUCAUUGAUUCUCACAAUUUUAUGCCAAAGUUGAUGCCACAAGCUAUUAAAAAGUAUUGAAUUUUUCCAGGGUAAUGGAGGUGUUGAAGAGCUGUACCUUGUAGUCACAAUCAUCGGGGGAGAAGAAUGGAACAUGGGGGAGGAAGACACCUUCUAGAAACUCAAAUGUUUGACGUUGCAGCCAAUGAGUCUUGCUAAGUGGGAGUUUAGAGAGGAAUCCUUUCAUGUGCUUGAUAUUACAACUGUGGGAAUCUCAUAAGCUU
rnacentral:lncRNA from 1 species